rnacentral:rRNA from 1 species
CGCCCGGUAAUUGCAGCUCCGGUGGACGUAUAUUAAAGUUGUUGCAGUUAAAAAGCUCGUAGUUGAAUUUCGGGAUUAGUGCGCCGGUCGUGCCUUCGGUAUGUACUGGUGUUACUGGUUCCUACCUUCUGACGAACNGUCAUGUCAUUAAUUUGGUGUGGCGGGGAAUCAGGACUGUUCC